rnacentral:lncRNA from 1 species
AUAUGGAAGUUCCCAGGCUAGGAAUCGAAUUGGAGAUGCAGCUUCUGACGUACACCACAGCCACAGCAAUACAGGAUCCAGGUCACGUCUGCGACCUACACCACAGCUCAGGGGACCCACUGAGUGAGGCCAGGCUUCUAACCCUCGUCCUUAUAGACACUAGUUGGGUUCAUUACCGUUGAGCCACAAUGAGAACCCCAGAUACUUUUUAAAGUGAAAGAAAAUUUAAAAGAUUCAUACCUUUUUCUUUGCCCUUGUCUUUAACCUACUAUUCAUGUUUAUUACAUAAUUCAUUUAAUUUUCUUUAUUCCUUGUUUUCCUUUGAAGUAAUAUACUUCAUCUAGAGUCAUUUCACCAAAAUCAAAGUCACUGAUUUAUUAUAUCAUCAAAUCACCAAACAAAAAACAAUUUAUGCACAUGAGAAGGUUUCAUCCCCUUUUGAAAAUUUUACUGUAUGUUUGAAUGUGGUUUUCUUUUUAAUAUUUUAUCUCUUGCACAUUUUUUCAGCAUUCAAAGAAAUGUUUAGUCAGGUUGGUUAGAAAGAAGAUUUGCUAAACUGGCAAAACAUAAUGCAUCGAUUGCUUCACAAAAGCAGUGCCCCCUAUUACAUCAAAUCCUCUAAAUAUGGAAGUAUCCUUAACAUGAAAGGAAAGUUUUGGGCAUAUUAAACAUUAUGCAAAAAGACCUUUCAAGUGGAGAACUGACAAAAAGCCUUAGGAAUUUAAACCUCCUUUACAAACUAUUUUCUUCCAAGUUUUUCCAGAUUUUAGAUGAUAAUUUUUCAGUGGGACUCUUUGAGGGUGAAACAAAUCUAAUUUCAUUUUAUAAUCAAAAAUCUUAUCUAUAGAACACAUUCUUUAAACAUCAUCAAUAUUCUAUGUAGGUAUGAAGGAGAAUAAACUGUAUCCCUAUUUUUAGAUUUUUAGUGGUUUGUUUUAAAAUUGCAGUUGAAAUUUGCAUUUUGUAAUAUAAUAAUUGGACUGAUCAAUUUCUGUUCAAUUACAAGAAAGCAAGGGUGUUGUCUAAUGUAUAUACAAACCAGGCUUUCAAAGAAUAUACAGAUGAAUGUAUGUCCUUUAUUAUACUCAAAAGAUUUCAGAUACCUCCCUAUGUAUGUUUUUUCUUUCUUCCUUGACUUUUUUUUUUUUAUAUUUAGGUUAAUUUCUCUCUAACCUAUUUAAAUGAAGACUAUUCUAGAACCUUAGUCAAAACUAGAGAUUUUGUAUCCAAACACAUAUCCACAAAUAACUUCUAGAAAAUCCUAGUGGAUGAAAAGCCUUUAACAUGGACAAUCUCACUAAGAGAGUAAAGCUGUACUUCUUUUCAUGUUUAUUACUUUACAUGUCUGGUAAUCUAAAAAAUGAUUUAACUCUACUUAGUAUAUGUUCUCCCUUCAAACUGGAAGAUGGAAGGGGUUUUAGAGUUCAUUUGAACUAGAGAUUCUAGAAAUGCUGAAUAUCAAAGAAUGUCAUUUUUUUUCUAAAAUGUAAAAAAAAAAUCAGUGCUGGAUAUAAUCAGGAGCUGGUUAUUUAGACAAAAAAAAUAUCCUGUACUAUUGCCAUUACUUCAUCAAAGAAGAACCAAAAGAAAACUAGGCACAAAAAUAAGUAUUUAGUUUUAUAUAUUUUAAAAAGGAUUGAAAUUUUUACCUCAUUAUUCUUAUAAUCUCACAGGUUAGUGGAAAAUUUUAGUAUCACAACUUCAUUAUCACAGACUGGCAUUGGGGAUACCUUUCUAGUCCAAUGCUCUCAAUACUAUAGAAAACUGAAGGAAGUGAUUUUGUGGCUGAAUCAGAAAUAAGACCCCUUUCUUCUGAUUCCCCACUGAGUUGGUGUCUUUAUGUCUAGCUGAAGACCUAGGGCUGACUGUUAAAUUUCCUUGCCUCUCUAUCUUUGUUUUCUUAUUCUGAAAAGCAGGUUGCUGAUGAAGACUACCAAGGUCACUUUCUGUUCCCUAACAUUGAAGAUGGAAGGGGAGAGGUUCUUCACCCAGCGGGGCAUACAGACACAAAUAACAUCUGGAAAACCUCUCACUAGAAUAUAAACCAAAUGGGGAAGGACGAGCUAAAAUGUGAACCAUUUUUCACUUGUGGGAACAUGUUGGCAAUGAGCCAGAUGUGGAGCUCAGUUCUACAAGUGAUUGACACGGGUCCCCAUCAGCUCUGCCAAUCAGAACCACUCAUACUCCAGGACGGUGACUCUGGAAACUCCCAAGAGCCUAUACAAAGAAACUCUUCAUUCAGAACUUGAAGGAUGUCCACACCCAUCUCCAGUGUGCUGAACGUGCCCACGGUGAUGACACCUCCAUCAGGGAAUGAGUCCAGAUAUAAACUAAGCAGGACAAGAAAACUUUGUGCAAUACUAGUUGGUGCAGCCUUAAUUCAGAGACAAUACACACGAUGUCUAGAAAUAAAACACUCCAGCCUUCCCACGUGAAAUUCAAAAGAAAAAUUGAAUGCCAGCUUUCUCUGUUUUAAAUGAAUCUUAAAACACAAAAGUAGGGCUGUUGCUCAGCAACCAAGAUGAACACAGAAAUGGGUUGUUCCUGCAGCUGUGAGACCCUGUGAAGUCCUAGGGGCGUUGGGGGUGGGUGAGCAGGGUUGAAAGUCCCGCCAGCUGAUGUGGUAGUGCAGGUUACAGACAUAGUGACUGGAAGAAAUAAAGGAAUGUGGCCAUUCUUACAUCCUAGUGUUUGGUCCUGAAGAUCAGAUGAGUUACAUGUAAAUGUUGGAGGUACAAAAUGGCAGAGGAACCCAGAAUAAGCCAUUUCAGUCUCUCUGGUGUCAAUCCCAGUGUCAAAGCUUCCUCAAGGGUCCUGUUCGCCGAAGGGAGAAGGACCAGAGAGACAGGGAAACGUCAUUUCAGGGGCUGGAAUAGCACAUGCUAAGCCAGGAAUCACCUCAACACAGGGUGUUAUUUAGAGCACACAUCUCAUGAAACCACAUAAUGCAUCUUCCAGGAAAAUUUCAAAAUUCCAUUAAAUUUUCAAAUGAAUAAAUAACAGGUUGUUAUUUAGGCAAUAACAUGUGACUAUGGGCCCACAGUGUAUUUACUAAACAGUGUCAUUCAAAAUACAUGGAGAGAAAGGCCAAUAUUCUAAUGACAGAAUUACUGAUGGACAAUAGAAAAAAAGAGGAAAUGAUAAAUAUCUGGCCUACUAAAUCAUCCAUUUAUUCCCAAAAUUCCAUCCCAUUUUCUUACUUAUUAGACCUUAGUGUUUUAUUUUAUUCUGUUGUCUGUUUAAUAUACCCUUACAAAUGACAGAGGUCAAUAGAUGGUGAUUAAAUGCAUGGACUAAAAUGGAAUUAAGCUUUGCUUUUUUAGAGUUUUCAAAGUAAAGAAAGUCUUAUCAUAGUUUUGAAGACAGACAUUGUGUAUGUGUGCAUGUGUACAUGUAAACAUAUAACAUACAAACAUAGUUUCAAGAAAAACAACGACCACUAGGCUUCAAUUGCAUUUUCUUUUUCUUAUCCGUGUCUCCACUUUUUCCUUCUCUACGGCCUCCUGUGUUGCUCAGGGACAGACACUUCACAUGAGAAGCAGACUCUGGACCUAUCCUGUCAGGAUCAGUGAGAAAGGCAGAGGCCAUUCUGAUUCGGUUUUAACGUUUUUUUUCCAAGCUGGCUCAGGGAAAACUGAGGAGCCAGGCAAACAACAACAAGCUUCUAUUCCCACCACUGAAUUGGGCUCAGUUCUCAGGGAGCCUGUUCAGGAAGCACAGAGCAUCCCAAACAGGCAGGAACAGGGACCCUGUGUCCACAGUCCUGUGGCUGGACUCACUGCCACCUCUAGGGGGAACCCCAUUCUCAGGAAUUUUUUCCUCUCAGCACAGCCCAGACCUUGACUUUCCACAGUCCCCUCCCCCACCUGCUCCUCCACAGAAUAUUCACAUUUGGCUUUCAGAUGUCCACAGCUGGCAUUUUUCUUGAAACUUUUUAGUUAAAAUGUGAAUAAAUUAUUCAGGCAGAGGCACAUGUCGGAAUUGUUAUUACCAUAAAAGAACCAAUGCUUCUUGAAUAUUCUACACCAAGAAAAGGAUGGGAAGGCCCUGAGUCUCCAUGAAUAGAGAAAGCUUUUCCUUCAAAGAACUCAAGGUCCUCCAUGGCGUUCUGAUAAUUACAGUUCACAUGGUCUCUUUUCCUCCAAGUCUGUACACAGGAUAUGCACAAAAGUGUUCGAUGCCCACAGAGGUUUGGGUCAUGCUGAGAUUAAAAAAAAAAACAAAACCCCAAAACUUAAUAACAAGGAAUAGAUUCCUUUAUUACAGACAUAGCCUUUAACAUGCUAAUUCACACUGAAUCUGCACAUGUGACAGUUCCUGCUACCCUUCCUUGAAACCACGUUUUUCCUCUUGGCGGCACACCUACUAUUCUUUCUUGGGAUUAAUGUUUCAAGGAGCAUAGUUAAUACCAUGAAAUUAAGCAUAAGGGAAGCUAGAGGAAAUAGCAGAAAAGGAGGACAAAGAGGACACAGAUUCCGUACAGGACUGAUUCAUGCCUGUGUCUUGUGUUGGGAUCUUACCCAGCCUUGAUCUCAGAGUGCACUGCCCAUUUCAUUCAUAAAAAGCCAACUUUCUAAAUUAAUGACAGCAUGGCUCCUACCAGAAGGAAUUUCAGUAUGCUCUUCCUUGUCAUGCAGGGCUUCUCUCUAUCUGGCCACCCCCUGCCUUUUUAGCAGAGUCCCCAUUUUGUGUGUGAUAUACAAUCCAUCUAUGACAUGUGGAGCUUCUUGGAAGAUGUCAGGCAUCUUCCUCUUCUUUCACUCUGAUAAUGCUCUUCCUUCUGCCUGGAAAGCUUUCUUCUCCCUACUGUCCCUUCCCUGUGCUCUGCGCAUGCUCAAUCAAUUCCCGCCAUCUCUCAAGACUGACCCACACAGAGCAUGGCCAUUGCUUUGACACCUCUGUGAUCACACCACUUCUUAUACCGCUCACACACCUGCAGAAUAGCAACAGUUAAGUUUGUUAUUUGUAAGUCCUCCUGGACCAGGGGUAUCUCAAGGUCCAAGAACCACAUUUAGCAUCUCCUGCAACCAAUAGACUCUUCCACACAGCACACAAGGAUGGCAUCACAGGAGUGGAUGGACAGUGACCUAAGAGCUCUGUUUUCUGUGACAGAUAACUGAACAAGGUCAGUACAAAAAAGCCUCUUAGUUUUUCCUUCUCAUUGCCAAGCCCCAGUCAUCCUCAAGGGUAGUAAGCGAUUGAAAAGGUUUUAAAACUUGACAAAAAAGAAGAGCCUUGAGACUUCUAAUAGAAUCAAAUGUAGAGACAAGCAUGGUGCCCUUGAACCAGGUUCGCUGGUUCCUUCCCACCCAGUCAUGUCUGCUGAGGCCCCUCUCAGAAGCCCAUGGCUCCAAGAAACCCUUUCUCACAGCUAUUAACACAGGAAAUGUCCCCAUAGUAAAGCUGCUUUAACCAGGAACAAUCCAUCCUCCUGAAGGAUUAUAUUCCACCACCAUGAAGUCAGGCCGUAUCAUGUAUCUGUUCUGCAAUAUGGAAUACAGAUCUUCACUUCCUAGUAUAAUGAAAACUGAUCUACAAAGUUUUCUGAGGGAAAGAGGAAAAUAAAUGCUGCAUACUUUCAAAGCUUUUGUUUGUAAAUGAAAAUGUAUAGAUAACAAUAACUAGCUUUCUGGGCUGAAAACAAAUAAAAACCCACCUAUUUGGAUA